GUCUCCUUGAAAAAUUUAGUAUAAGGAGUCGAACCUGCCCAGUGACUGUAAUGUUAAACGGCCGCGGUACCCUAACCGUGCAAAGGUAGCAUAAUCAUUUGCCUUUUAAUUGGAGGCUUGUAUGAAUGGUUUGACGAGAGCUAAGCUGUCUCUUUUGAAAUAUAUAGAAAUUAACUUUCAGGUGAAGAGGCCUGAAUAAAGCUGAGUGACAAGAAGACCCUGUUGAGCUUUAGUAUUGCUGGGGUUGACUAGGACAAACUGAAUGAUGUUCAGAAUGUUAUAAAAGUUUAUUAUAAUAAAAUUGUAUAACCCAGUGAAUCUUUAGUUGGGGCGACUGAGGAACAAUAAGAGCUUCCUUGAAAUGUUGUUAUUUUGGUUUUCAAUGAGUUGUGUUGCCAAAUUAUCUGAUCCGGCGUAUGCUGAUUAAGGGAAAAAGUUACCACAGGGAUAACAGCGUAAUCUUUCUGGAGAGAUCUUAUCGAAAGAAGGGUUUGCGACCUCGAUGUUGGACUAAGAUAUCCUAAAGGUGUAGAAGCUUUUGAGGGUUGGUCUGUUCGACCAUUAAAAUCUU
rnacentral:rRNA from 1 species